rnacentral:rRNA from 1 species
GAUGUGGAUUAAUUCGAUGCAACGCGAAAACCUUACCUACCUUGACAUGUCCGGAAUCCGAAGAGAUUUGGGAGUGCUCGCAAGAGAGCCGGAACACAGGUGCUGCAUGGCUGUCGUCAGCUCGUGUCGUGAGAUGUUGGGUUAAGUCCCGCAACGAGCGCAACCCUUGUCAUUAGUUGCCAUCAUUUGGUUGGGCACUCUAAUGAGACUGCCGGUGACAAACCGGAGGAAGGUGGGGAUGACGUCAAGUCCUCAUGGCCCUUAUGGGUAGGGCUUCACACGUCAUACAAUGGUCGGUACAGAGGGUUGCCAACCCGCGAGGGGGAGCUAAUCCCACAAAGCCGAUCGUAGUCCGGAUCGCAGUCUGCAACUCGACUGCGUGAAGUCGGAAUCGCUAGUAAUCGUGGAUCAGCAUGUCACGGUGAAUACGUUCCCGGGUCUU